GACGAACGCUGGCGGCGUGCUUAACACAUGCAAGUCGAACGGAAAGGCCCCCAUCUUGGUGGGGGUGCUCGAGUGGCGAACGGGUGAGUAACACGUGGGUGAUCUGCCCUGUACUUCGGGAUAAGCUUGGGAAACUGGGUCUAAUACCGGAUAGGACCAUGGUUUAGUGUCUCAUGGUGGAAAGAUUAUUGUUUUGGUGCAGGAUGAGCUCGCGGCCUAUCAGCUUGUUGGUGGGGUAAUGGCCAACCAAGGCGUCGACGGGUAGCCGGCCUGCGAGGGUGGCCGGCCUCGUUGGGACUGAGGUACGGCCCAGACUCCUACGGGAGGCAGCAGUGGGGAAUAUUGCACGAUGGGCGCAAGCCUGAUGCAGCGACGCCGCGUGGGGGAUGACGGCCUUCGGGUUGUAAACUCCUUUCGUUAGGGACGAAGCCGCACUUUUUUUGGGUGUGGUGACGGUACCUUUGUUAAGAAGCACCGGCUAACUACGUG
rnacentral:rRNA from 1 species